GACGAACGCUGGCGGCGUGCCUAAUACAUGCAAGUCGAGCGAAGUUUUUCUGGUGCUUGCACUAGAAACACUUAGCGGCGAACGGGUGAGUAACACGUAAAGAACCUGCCUCAUAGACUGGGACAACUAUUGGAAACGAUAGCUAAUACCGGAUAACAGUAUUUCUCGCAUGAGAGAUAUUUAAAAGUUGGUUAUGCUAACACUAUGAGAUGGCUUUGCGGUGCAUUAGCUAGUUGGUGGGGUAAAGGCCCACCAAGGCGACGAUGCAUAGCCGACCUGAGAGGGUGAUCGGCCACACUGGGACUGAGACACGGCCCGGACUCCUACGGGAGGCAGCAGUAGGGAAUCUUCCGCAAUGGGCGAAAGCCUGACGGAGCAACGCCGCGUGAGUGAAGAAGGAUUUCGGUUCGUAAAGCUCUGUUGUUAGGGAAGAAUGGAUAUGUAGUAACUAUACAUGUAAGAGACGGUACCUAACCAGAAAGCCACGGCUAACUACGUG
rnacentral:rRNA from 1 species